CAAAGUGAAGCAGGUCGUGGAAGGUCUCAUACUGCUGGCGCUCCACCUUUUGGGCAAUGCGGUCUUGUAACCCAUCCAUGAACUGAGCCAUCAUGGUCUCUUGCGUCUCGCGUGUCUUGAGCUUGUUCCUGAGGGACUCAAACUCCUCAUAGUACUCUUCUACAGUCCGCGUUCCCAGAGACAAUUUACGAAAACGUUUCUGUAAGUCUCGUUGAUAAUAAGCAGGAACAUACCUUGUGCGAAGCUUGGAUCGCAUCUCUUCCCAAGUCUCAACUCUAUAGACUCGGCCGGUCUCGGACACUUCUCUGUCCCACCAAGAUAGAGCAUUCUCGGUCAGUUGGGCCGCGGCUAAGGCUAUCUUCCUGGCCUCA
rnacentral:lncRNA from 1 species